rnacentral:rRNA from 1 species
GGGUUGUGAGGUUAAGCGACUAAGCGUACACGGUGGAUGCCCUGGCAGUCAGAGGCGAUGAAGGGCGUACUAAUCUGCGAUAAGCGCCGGUAAGGUGAUAUGAACCGUUAUAACCGGCGAUACCCGAAUGGGGAAACCCAGUGUGAUUCGUCACACUAUCAUUAACUGAAUCCAUAGGUUAAUGAGGCGAACCGGGGGAACUGAAACAUCUAAGUACCCCGAGGAAAAGAAAUCAACCGAGAUUCCCCCAGUAGCGGCGAGCGAACGGGGAGGAGCCCAGAGCCUGAAUCAGCAUGUGUGUUAGUGGAAGCGUCUGGAAAGGCGCGCGAUACAGGGUGACAGCCCCGUACACAAAAGCGCAUGUGCUGUGAGCUCGAUGAGUAGGGCGGGACACGUGGUAUCCUGUCUGAAUAUGGGGGGACCAUCCUCCAAGGCUAAAUACUCCUGACUGACCGAUAGUGAACCAGUACCGUGAGGGAAAGGCGAAAAGAACCCCGGCGAGGGGAGUGAAAAAGAACCUGAAACCGUGUACGUACAAGCAGUGGGAGCACAGGUUUACCUGUGUGACUGCGUACCUUUUGUAUAAUGGGUC